rnacentral:rRNA from 1 species
UACGUAGGGGGCUAGCGUUGUCCGGAAUCAUUGGGCGUAAAGCGCGUGUAGGCGGUUCGGUAAGUCCGCUGUGAAAGUCGGGGGCUCAACCCUCGGAUGCCGGUGGAUACUGUCGGACUAGAGUACGGAAGAGGCGAGUGGAAUUCCUGGUGUAGCGGUGAAAUGCGCAGAUAUCAGGAGGAACACCAGUAUGCGAAAGGCAGCUCGCUGGGACGUGACUGACGCUGAGACGCGAAAGCGUGGGGAGCAAACAGG